GGGGGCGUACUGGUUUCGACCCGAAGCUGGUAUGGCGUUCAGCAUGUCGAGGAUGAUCGGUUGGCCUCGUAAAAAAUCUGAUCAAACAAAAUAAAUGCAAAAUCUGCACUUAAUGUAGUUAGCGGAAGCGAAGCUACAGCUCUCGCAGCUUAAUUAGUCUGCGACGCGGACGCACUGAUGUCUACUAGGUGCGCGAGCGACAUUAGUAGGCGAACUCACUAGCGGAGGAGCCGCGUUAGUGGGGGAUCUUUUCGGGUUCCUCGGAGUGAGGUAGCGCGUUGCACCGUAGCCGCUCUCCUAAAUAAAAAGUGUGACUACACAUGUAGAAGGGCGUUGUAGUUAGUCUCGGGCACAGGGGUUCAACUCCCCUCGCCUCCACGC
rnacentral:tmRNA from 1 species